GAUGAAGAACGUAGCGAAACGCGAUAUGUAAUGUGAAUUGCAGAAUUCAGUGAAUCAUCGAAUCUUUGAACGCACAUGGCGCCUUCCAGUAUCCUGGGAGGCAUGCCUGUCCGAGCGUCGUUUCAACCCUCGAGCCCCCGUGGCCCGGCGUUGGGGAUCUGCCCAGGCAGUCCCCGAAAACCAGUGGCGGACCCGUUACAGGCCCUACCCUUGCGUAGUAGCAUUCGCCUCGCAUCGGGAGCCGGCGGGCUUCCAGCCUCUAAACCCCCAUCAAGUCCGCCCCGGCGGCACCAAGGUUGACCUCGGAUCAGGUAGGAAUACCCGCUGAACUUAAGCAUAUCAAUAAGCGGAGGA
rnacentral:misc_RNA from 1 species